GUGCAAAGCCCUCAGUGGCUCCAGCUCUGCCACUGGGCAUGCUCCAGCGCCCCAAAAGGCAGGGGCAGUCGGGGACUGGGGGCCCGGAGCCAUCAGGGAGGCGGGCAACACCUGUCGGGACCGGAGGGGUUGUCUCAGAUUGUGAUCUGAGGUUCUGCACCUUCCGAUUUGGGGCAAUGGACAUCCUUUAGUGUCCAGCCCAGAUUCUCCUACCAGCUGCCUGGGUAAUGCCAGUGGAAUUCCUAAAGAGAUGCCUCUAAAAUGUCUGAAUAAGCUUCAAUCAGACUGCCCUUCCCAAAGAAAAUAACUAUAAAUGCUGGAAAAACUACAAAAACAACUACCUGAAGGCACUGGCGAGUGACAAAAGCAGGCAAAUUCUGGAGAGGAGUCAACACUUGGAAGAAGGCAGCCACAUUGGGUGCAUGCGGAAGGAACAGUGUCACUGCAUGAGAAUGGCCAAAGAACAAGAUACAAUUCCCCGUAGAGAGCAAUUCCAGAGAGAGGGAAGCAUGGGUCAGAAUAAGUUAUAUUGUUCCCAGCCUAAUAGCAUUUUUUUCUGUUGCACUGGUAUUUCUUUAAAAAAAAAAAAAAAAAAGCUUCAGUUCCAAGUUUCAGGAAUGAGUUGGUGGGGCAUGAGGGUCAUACAGUGAUUCAGGAGCUUCCUUGCAAAUAAAUGAGUGAGCCAAUCCAAUAAUUUAUGUUUAAAUAUUUCACUGUGUUAAACGUUGAAAAAUAAAACAAGUGAAUUC